UCAACCCGCAGAUAAUGAGUGAUGAUAGCUACUAGAGAAGCAUUGUCAAAGAUUAUUGAUGCAAUCCGGUGAUCUGAAAACGCAAAUGCUCUGAGAUUCAAUCUUUUGCCAUUAGACUCAAUUCCUGUAAUGUGUCAAGGAUGACUUUGCGAGUGGGGGAGGCAUCAUCAGGGACCACACAGGAAAAUGCAUAAAGGCAUUCUCAACAUCAUAUAAACAGUGUAAGAUCUUUGAAGCAGAGCUUAG
rnacentral:lncRNA from 1 species